UCAGACUGCUGUCCAGCUAGAGGGAUCUGAUUUCACUGGUAUCCCUUUUUAAACCCUACUUCUAAGAGGGUUUGUAGCUAUUUCAUCUGUGUUAAGCAGCGCUGUGUUACCCGAGGCUAUAUGCUACGUUCUAUAUGAUCAAAGCAGAAAUGCAAGCAGCUUCUGACGAAGAGUUAUCGUGGCUGAGGGGAAAAAAUAUCAAGGAAGGAGAAAAAAGAUACAGCGCUACAAAAUACCAGGUCAUGCCACCAAAGUAAACACCCACAGAGCAGAGGCACUCCACAGCCCACAUUGUGCUCAGGGGAGGUGACGACUAACAUACCUGUGGAAGCCCUGAGAACCUCACUGAGAGCCGAUAGGCAUGCAGGAAUUUAGAAGCCCUGAAGCCAUGUCUGAACCAGGAACUUCAGAGCACAGACUUUCAGUCCCUGGGGGAAGGGUGUUUUCAUUCACUGCAAAGCUGGUACAGCAACAGCCUGAACACCAGGACCUACCAGCCUCAGCCUGCAAAGCUUCUUCAGACUUUGAUCUUCGGAGAGAUCAAACAGGGUCAGGCCACAGAUAGCAGAUUUUGAAUGAAAACCCAGACAGGGCUUUGUGACGUGGAGAUGAUGUGGAGAGCUUGAAAAGAAGACAAGACAGAGCAAGUAGUCCAGCCUGACACAUCAUUGGCUUUGUGCUCAACUAAAUCAAGUCAGAAUUCAGACCUCUUACAGUAGUUACUGCUUCUCCUACCCCAGCGUUUGGAUCCAACAGCCCCAAACACGCUCGUGUCUGCAGCGAAUCACGGUUGUUCCGAGCAAGUCACUGCCGUGUUUCUAAGAAAAGAUGCGCUUCCCCAAAUGAAAUCACACACGUUAUUUGAAGAGAAACCACCUCAACCAUCCUAAACAUCCUGUGCUGCCACGAAUGCAGCUCCCAGUGGGCGCUGCGGGGUUCUGUUUCGCACCGGAUGAGGCUGUCUGUCUGUCUGCCUCGCUAUCCGCCCAUCUCCACACACACCUGUCUCUCUGGCCCCGCACAACCGUCUGCCUCCCGUCUCCCAUUGCUGCGUGUUGCAACAAGGCCUGGUGUGGCUGCCCCUCCCUGAGCACCGCGGGGCUGAGCCAGCAGCGCCAGACCCGGUGCCACCCCUGGGCCAUGCUCGGCAGGGCGAGCAGGAGGAUGGGGAGGCAGUGCCCGGCUGGGGGGGAGCGUGGGGACCUGCCCUUCUUCCCAGUGGGAGAGGGAGCUGCCACGAUUGGAAAGUGCAAGAACAACCUUUCUUCUCUCUUCUUUUCCAAGAUAGCAUCGGCUGUAUGCUUACCUGCUUUAUGGGCCCGAUCUGGAAAUGAAUGAAAGGGAAACUGGUAGGGGAGGGAGCGCCCUCUGAGCUGCCUCAGGUACGCAUCUCUCCAUCGCCUGCUUGCAGCUUCCCUCUUCUGACCUCGCAGCCACCACGAGAUCUGUAUCUCCUGAUGACCACAGGUGUUUCACAGAACGGAGAAACUGAGGGGAUAUUCAGUGAAUGUCACGAAGAGAGCGGUGACAGUGGCUGAGCGCAGCUCCCAGCCCCAGCACUAAACCAGCGCUCCCACCAUGGGGAAAUGGCACAGAGUAAGGAGCAUCAUCAGCACAGCUCAGAAAGCAGGAAGGGAUUUUGUGUAUUGGUUUCAGAUUUUUAAUUUUAAGUAAUAUGGAAAAUACUGACGAUCCACAAGAGGAGAAACAAGAGUUGAGGAGCAGCAAGGGUUGAGGAGAAGCAAGGGUUGAAUAAUAUAGAAAAAGAUGUGCAAAAAAAUGAAAGAAACUGGGAAGGAGUAAAAAAUAAGUGCAAAGUUCCAGGAGUGGGGAAAAAAAGGUGGGAAUUUUGCCCACCCAGAAGAGGCACCUGCAGGCUCACCCCAGCAGAAUGCUGCCUCGGAUAUCACCCUGCGCACGGGGUGAAGCUCAACCAGGCAAGGGUAAUGCCUACAAUUAAAGCCAGAACAAACCACAUGCUUAUUGGAUUCAGCGUGAAACUGUUCUUCACUGCCAGCUGCAGGGAGUAGAUGAUCUGAUAGGUCCUUUUCUUCUCUAAUUCUCUUGAUUGCCUAUGGGUAUUGUUAUUGCUUAUGUUGGCCAAAACCUGACCAUGUAUCUGGAUAGAGUGUACUGUAAGAGAGGCAGUUAUUCGACAGGAAUACUGCAAAUGUGUCCAGUCUGUGAAGGCAGAUUCCAUUCACUGUGCACACCGAUGUCAUUUGUUCUUUUGGGGUCUUCAGUAACUUCUACCACACAUGGCAAAGAAUACCACUACAAUGUCAUCACAUGCCUUUGUUGGUGUGGGUUAAUCCACAAAUUCUCAGUGAAGAUCUGUUGUGGGUUAUGCUGGAUGCUUAUGAAUGUCUUCAGAGCUAAUGAGCAAGCAACCACACUGCCCAAAUUUGCUUCGCUUUUAAUUGUGGCCGUUUUCCCUGCCCUCUGUAAGAACUGCUUUCUUCUCUUCCACCUACCUGUGCCUCUGUACUACUCAAAGGAUUUCAUGCUUAGAUUACAUGUGCUACCAUGUACAUGAUUUAAGCUAAAACUUCCCCUUAGUACCAAACAAUAUGGGAACCCCCACCGUGAUUCCAAGCAUCCCGGGUGAGAAAAGGAGCCCAGCCAGGAGAGAGUGCUGUCUGCCACUGCCCUCGGCUGGGCACCCAGGGAAGGCUGUAGUGCCCUCCUCCUUCCAUCUCUCUGCAGCUCAGGGGGUUCCUGAGCCUGCACAGAUCACCAUUGCUGGCCAAAUUUUCUGCAAUUUAUGUGCUGCAAAACCUCCGGCUGCUACAGGAUAUAAAUCAGUGGAGUCAUUGACAAUAAUUGGAAAAAAAAAUCCGUGAUGUUAAAGGCAUAAUAUGAAUCUUGAUCUUAAUCUGGGCUAAAUCUCCAGCAACAUAAAUUACCUGUCUGCUUGGCUAGCUCUGUUCUCUGCGGUCCCUAUGGAGUCUGACUAUGUAAUGGGCACGGUGUAACACGAUAGAUGGAACAAGGCUUUCUGUGCUCUCAAAUCCAGCUGAAGAGUGGCAGAAUGAUGUGUUCAGAUGAGUUCCUCUCUCCUUUUCAGGUACUGGACAAUUACACAUGAAGCACAACAAGUCCAGUUGCCACUGAUGGUCUAAUGCAAGUGGCAGAGCAACUGUGCUAGUUAAAUCUCUGUAUUAGUGACAUCUUACAGCACAGUGGCAUUAGUAAGAAAUGAAUUUUAAUUAAAUACCUGUACCUAAAAUCAGAGAAUCACAGAAUGGUUUGAGUUGGAAGGGACCCCCAGAAGCCAUCUGGUCCCACUGCCUGCAGAGCACAGGGACACCCACAGCUCCACCAGUGCUCACAGCCCUCCAGCCUGACCCUGGGGGUCUGCAGGGAUGGGGCCACCACUCUGAGCAGCCUGUGCAGUGCCUUUCCACUCUAACGGUAAAAAAAACUUCCUUAUAUCCAAUGUCAAUCCCCUUCUGUAGAUUGGUAAGGGUGUCUGUGUGGCUACACCUGGAAGGACAAAGAAAUCUGUGUAACACACCUACAACUUCAGUGUUACAGUUGCCAUCAUUUUAGAUUUAAACUUCAAGUGCACAGCGCUUACUUUUGCAGCACUCUGUUAAUGCGCGUUGAGAGAAGUUAGCAUUUACACAGAUCAGAUCUAACCUUAAGGAAGCCUGCCUCAAACGAGCACACAGAACUGAUUUCUGAAAACAUCAUAAUCCGAGGAAACUUUAUCCCCGCCGGCUGCUUGCCGGGGCGCGCCGACAGCCCGGCUCCUUCCUCCCUCUUGGCCAGGUACGAUCCAGCAGAAGCGCGGCGCAGAUCAGCUCCGCAGAGCUCUGUGCCCUGCAGGACGGCGAGGAAUGCAGCUCUUCCAGAAAGCAGAGCUGUCAGGAGAGACCUCCUUGGUGAGCGGCAGGCAGGCACUGAUCCUGCACUGCAGCCACCAGGAGCAGUGGGUGCCCAGCAGCUGCCUGCCGGCCCUCUGCUCCCAGCGCGUCCUCAAUUCGGCCACACCGUGUGCUCCUCUUCACCACCGCGCUGCUGAAACAGGUCGGGAUCCGGCACAGAGCUGCUCUGUCAGAUUGGCAAUAAGGCGACAAGAUGGAAAAAAAAGAAAGAAAGAAAAAAAAAAAAGGCUGCAAUAAUGUUAAAAAUAUCGUAAAAUGUUAUUUAUACCAGGAUACAUUUGUUACCCCAUGUGACAAUCAUUCAUUUUUCUUGACAGAUAUAAACCUCUGCUUAACACAUUAGUAUCAUAAAUAUUAUCAGAUAUAACGCUGUAAUUUAAUACCUACCAAAUGCAUUUUAAAAUAUUACUCAAUUUAAAACUUUGGAUUUUAACCAGAUGUGUUUCCAGAAAAUGAUUCGGGUCAGAUGCUUUUUUCUUUCCCUUUCUCUGUGCGUGCGCGUUCAAAGCGGAGCAUUGCUCUGUGAUUUAUUGCACCACGACUGCGUGCCCCCAACCCACAGCAGCACCGCGAUGCUUCAUCCUUGAGGCACACACACCUGCAGUCCAAACUAACAAGAGAAAACAUCUACAUGGCACGGCAGGAGCCUUUGAAAUGUCUCUUUGCAGUUGCCUGGACACAGAACAGACUGGUAGAACAGGGAGGCAGCGGAGAAAGGGUGAAGGCAGCAACUCCGGCCUCUUUCAUCUAGAAAGGGGGGACCAUGGAGAGAUUAGAGGAGAGGAUUUUGAUUAGAUCACUGGAAUGUGAAAUGAUGCUUCCCAGGAUUAAAAUCCUAUUUUAGUGCUACCAAACCGGUUACGUCGUUAGCCGGGCUCCGGAGGGCUGCGCAGCUCCGUCCUUGCAGACAUCCGUCAGGCUGUGCCAUGGGGCCCCCGAGCCUCUGUGCCCCCCACACCACAGAACCCAGCCAUUGAGGAGCCAGCAGCCCUACAAGCUCAGGGCUUCGGGGUUCCCUCUCCGGGCAUCAGCCGCACGUGCCUGGUGCUGCCGGCUGUGAGCUCGGCGGGCGCAGGCCUGGCGCGUCCCCACCCAGUGCCAUUGGUCACAGCCACGACGCGGCCAGCCAACAAUUUGAAGGUCUGUAGUUGCCGGGUUGAUCAUUACGUGCGACUCAUUAACAUAAAACCCGCCAUCGCGAUUAGUAUCUUUGUGAGCAGCAGCCUCGGCAAAAAGUGGAAAUGGAGGCAGAAACGGCGGUGCUGCUCCGAAGGACGGCGUUGGGAAAUCAGCAGCAGCGACUGCUCUGCGCUGUCUGUAACUUCUCCAGUGACACAGAGCCAUUUUCCAGCCGUCCGUCCACCGACCGGAGUGAGCACCACAUCCACUUGAUGAUCAGAUCCAAUUUGAGGAAAAAUCUACGCUCACUCACUCACCCAGAGGAAGACGUGUUUAUUUUCCCCUUGUGUACAAAGUGCACAACAGUGUUGGGAGCACAGAGUGGGGCUGACCUGGGGCAGGGGGUGGGAAGCACAAUGUAGGGGACGGAGAGUAUAGGGCGAGGGAUAGGAGCACAGAGUAGGGGAUGGGAGCACCGGGCAGAGGACGGGAGCCCCUAUAGGGGAUGGGAGCACACUAUAGGGGACUGUAGCACCGUGAAGGGCUGUCCUGGGGGGACAGGUACAGCUCUGCUGGUUCCUUGCCAGGAAAUGGGGUUUUGGGGGCUGCUGUAUUUGCGGGCUGUGCACGCAGUUUGUUUUGGGGAACAGAUGUGCCUGGCAAAGCGCUCCCUGCUUUUCAGGAAAGGAGCAAGGAAAAUGUUUGUAUUUGUAGGACACGUUAUCUUUCAGCACCAAAUAACUUCUCUCACCUUUUUAAAUCCCCUUUUCUAUGGAUAUGCCGCAUUUCCCGGCCCUCCCCGAGCAGCGCUCUGCGGCAGCGAACCCCGAGCGCCCACA